GGACCCGCACAAGUAGUGGAGCAUGUGGUUUAAUUCGAAGAUACGCGCAGAACCUUACCAACACUUGACAUGUUCGUCGCGACUUUAAGAGAUUAAAGUUUUCGGUUCGGCCGGACGAAACACAGGUGCUGCAUGGCUGUCGUCAGCUCGUGUCGUGAGAUGUUGGGUUAAGUCCCGCAACGAGCGCAACCCUCACUUUUAGUUGCCAUCAUUAAGUUGGGCACUCUGAAAGAACUGCCAGUGAUAAGCUGGAGGAAGGUGGGGAUGACGUCAAGUCCUCAUGGCCCUUACGUGUUGGGCUACACACGUGCUACAAUGGUAUCUCAACAGGAAGCAAGACGGCACGUUAAG
rnacentral:rRNA from 1 species